CAUUUGUCAAUCAGCAACAAAGGGACAUGGAAGACCAACAGCAGAACUGGUGUGAGAGUCUCCCCAGCUUUCAAGCUCCACUGCGUGUGUCUCAGCCAGACCAUCACGGAGACGGCUGGUGUGUUGAUCAACCUAACACACAAGAGCACACCUUCGCUGUCCUGAGACCCUCAGGGGACCACCAAGGAAGAGCCCAGA